UGCCACCAAACCAUUCAUGAGGAGCCUGAAACCAACUUUGAUACUGCGAGUGCCACCAUAACUUCAGAUACACUUCUUUAUGAAUCCAAAGAUCAGUUCUCUCCACCUGAAUUGAUUCAUGAACAUUCACAAAGCCAGGAGGUAUCCCAAGUGGGCAGCUCAACUGAAACAAGCCUCUACAAUGUGGUCAACAAACUGGAAUCUAAAGAGCUGCCUCUUGUUGAUCAGACCACUUCAACGACUGCAGUUGACACAGUGGAGGUCAUAUCAGAAAAUAACAAUGAAAACAAUGAUUCAGAACCAUUGAAAUCUCAACAGAUUGAAAUGGCUGUUUCUACUGAAGAAGCCAAGAUCACAAACCCAGAACAAGUUUCUUCUUCUCCUGGGUCUACAACAGCAAAUGACCAAUCAGAUGUUGACCAGAAGAGCAUUGCAGUUGUAGACACUUUAAACCAUCCUGGAAAUAAAAGAUAUCAGUCAUCUUUUGCAUGGGACACAUUUAUGAAAGGGAAAAAGAUGCCACAUCCAACACCGUUAAAAACUGAGCUGUGGUCCUCUGGAUUUCAUGAGCUUGUUUCUCCAAUUUGUUCUCCCAUAUUUAUGAAGAAUAAGUUGCCAAAAACAGCCAUGGUGAAGACUCCUGACAGACUGGAAACCCCAAGCAAGCGGCAAGGAGAGUGGAAUGCUAUAAAGCAGUCUUUUUCUGAAAUGUUAACAGAGAAAGAGAAUCAAGUUCUUAUCUCCUACAGCUCGACUCUGAGUGGCAGUCCAACCUCUUCUUCUGUGGGUAAUGGGCUGCGACAAAACUCCACUCCUACCGUUCCUCCUCCUAAACUCCAGAGCAUGGAGAAACCGACCCGGCCUAUGGCAUCUAGUUCUGAAGGAAAAGAAGAACGAAAACAAUCUGACAUAAUGUCCCAAAUUGCAAAAAUUGAGGAAUUUAUGUCAGCUGAAGGUUUAAUGCCUCAAAAAAGACUCAAAACCGAUUGAUAUGUGCUAGAAAUGCAUGCGUUCGUAAGUCGUUACAGAGUUUAAAAGGGUUUUUUUUACAUAUGUUUCUAACCCUCCUUGGGAGUAGAUAGUGAAUAUGAUAUUUGUGUUAAUUGCUUACUAUAUUUCCAAAUAAUUUAGCUAAAUAAAUGUUAAAUAUUUCAAGCAGCUUUAUUUUUGCAGACUUUUUUAAAGGUUCAAAUGUUUGCAUCCGCUGCAUGUUAACCUAUUGCUAAACAAGGUAAGUGAUACACAUAAAACCUGUUAAUUACAAUGCACAAGCUAAUUAACACUCAUUACUCCCAGACCAGCAUGUUCGUUCCUCAGAGGGCAUUUAAUGGCCAAACAUUGCUAAUUUACAUUUGAUACACAAACUGUGUUCAACUAUAACUUGAGAUAAUUAAAAUACACAAGUAAGAAGAAUCAAUUAGCACAUAUCAAGCCAAAUUAACAAAUGCAAAUGAGUCUCCCAUUAAGUUUAUGUCCUUGGUAAAUAGGCUGUGGGGACCACGUGGACACAUGUUAGGGCGAUACAGAUGACAAAAUGUGUUGCAUAUGUCGAUACUGGUCACAAUGAAAGUGGAUACUUGGAUUGAGCCAAAUGAGUAUUUUUUUUUUUUUAUUAUUAUUAUUUAUUAAAAACAAUAUGAGUGAAAUGGUAUCUGUAGAUCUUCAUUUUUAUUUUUUCUUGCAUUUUGUCUUACAGCACUAACCUGGUUUAUUAGCCCAUGCGGUAAUAUUUAAUAAGCUAUAUUUUAGGAAAAUAAACCAAAUGAGUUUCUAUCUCAAAUUAAGCACUUUUAAGUGCCUCACAAAAACAGUUUGCCUAGUACUAAAAUCAUCCAGCAGAAAGCAAAUGCGCACCUCCAGAUGAAAGCACAAGGUCCCUCAGAGGUUCACCUUAAUACACUUACUCAUUAUUAAUAUGUCAAAAUGUUAAUGUCCUCAUAAAGAAAUCUUAUGCGUUCCAGCCACUGUGCCAGCAGUACUGACCCUUAUCCUUAGAGGGAGUGGGCAAUAUGGAGAGCGUAAUUUUAAUACACACACUGGAUUAUGAAGUGGCAGUCCUUUGAAACAGUCAAUUACACUUGAGCGCGGGAGGGCCCUAGUGUUAAUUACUAGUUGGUUUUAUAUCGUGUGUAAAUACAGAGCCUGCUGACAUUCACAUUCCAUCAUCGUGUCCUGACUGCCACAACAAAUUAGCCUGACCCGUCUGUGUGCACACCGCUAGGCCGCUGCAUCUUCCUUUAACUUUAGAAUAACAUUCAGCACAAACAAGCCCACUUCUGCUUAUUAGGGUUGUUGAUGCUACUAUUUUAGGUCACUGUGCUUUGCUUAAAAUGGACUGAGAAAUAUUUGGAGUGACUAAAUAGAAUCAUUAGAUUGGGAAUAACACUACACUGGUUUCACUGUUUUUGUUGUAUUCACUAAAAAUAACUCAUUCAUUAGAAACCGUUACUACAUUGGUUGCACUUUGAUUCACUAAAAAGAACCAGCUCAUAAGAGUCAUAAAUACAAUGUGUUUGGGAAUCAGAGUGUACUGGUUGCAAAGUAUGUUUUUGAUUCACUUAAAGAACUGACUUGUUUGAAUCAUUUGUUUGGGAAUCAGACUAACCUGAUUGUGCUGUAGUUGUUUAAUUCACUAAAAAGAACCAAUGCUUUCAGAAUAAUGUUUUAGCAAUUGGACUACACUGGUUUCACUGUACUAUUUAUUUAUUUCUCUAAAAAGAACUGACUCAUUAGAAUCACUUUGGAUUUGAUUAAUUAAAAAGAACCAGUUCAUAAGAGUCAUUUGUUUGGGAAUCAGUGCACUGGUUGCACUGUAUGUUUUUGAAUCAUUUAAAGAACCAACUCAUUAGAAUUUUUGACUAGGAAUCAGCCAACUGGCUGUGAUGUAGUUGUUUAAUUCAUGAAAGAGAACCAACUCUUUUAGAGUAAUUUGUUCAGGAAUCAUCUGGUUGUGUCGUAUUUGUUUAAAUCACAAGAAGAACUCUUUAUAAUAAUUAUAGAAUAGCAUAGUUCAGCACUCUGACUACACUGGUUUCACUGUACUAUUUGUUGAAUUCACUAAAAAAAAAGAACUGACUCAUUAGUAUCAUUCAUUAAGGAAUCAGCCUGCAGUGGUUUCAUUUUGUGUUUGAUUCAUUAAAAACAACCAGCUCAUAUGAAUCAUUCAUUUUGGGUAUUAGAGAGCAUUGGUUUAUGUUUUUGAUUCACUUAAAGAACUGGCAACGCGAAGUGCAGUGGCACUACAUGUCAACGCAUUGCCCACAUGGCCAUUGGCGCUGAUGUUGCACUUUGUUUUUGAUUCUCUUUUCGAGCCAACAUUUGUUUGGGAAUCAAACUAAAGUAGUUGCGCUGUAGUUGUUUAAUUUACUAAAAAGAACCAACUCAUUAGAAUCAUUCUUUUGGGAAUCGGACUCAUUAGAAUCAUUCUUUUGGGAAUCAGACUCAUUAGAAUCAUUCUUUUGGAAAACAAACACUGGUUGUGUAUUCGUAUAAUUCACUAAAAAGAGCCAUCUUAUUUGAAUCAUUUGUUUGGGAAUCGGACUACACUGAUUGGUUUUGCUCUGUUGUUUCAGUAUAGCGUAUCCAAACGCCAUUAGAAAUCUCCUGCCACAAUCUCCUUUUUCAAUAGGAAAGCCCUAAGUGACAAAAGUGUGCACCAAACCAGACACGUGGAUGAAUAAUUGCAUUAACAUCUUUCUUCAAUCCCCUUUUUUUUUUCUUUUCUUUUUUUUUUUUUAAAGGCAGUACACUGUUGUUUUCCCUCUAUAGCUGUGAAUAACCUCCACUCUGGCCUUCUCAUCUUACCUCACAUUGAGAGACAAGAAGAUAAUCCUAGCCUGCCCACUACUGUCAAAGGUCAGCACAGUUUAAAGUUCACCAUCCACAUCAUUUAUAUGGCCUUAAAUUAGCCCAAACGCAAAGUUCUGACUGUUCCUCUCUCUUUCAACCAGUUGUUAAUCUUCUCGUCGUACUUCAAAUCCAAUGAGAAAUAGGAAUGCUCAGCGGACGGCUUUUUUGAUUGAAUUAUACCCCUCAAGGACCACCAUGGCAGGCCCAUACGCUUUUAAUUCUGAAGCGGUAAGAAGCGAUCACAUGGGUACACGGUACUCCCCAUACGUGGAGUAUGUCAUCCCCACCUAUAUAUCAGUUCAGCCGGCAAUGUGCACAUCUUAAAGGAUGAACCAUUUCGGCUGUGAUGGUUGGGGGGGCGAUCAGGAGCCCUAUCUUAACCCACAUGCCGUCCUGCAUUAGCUGUGUCCCUAUUGAGGUGUCAGCCCAUAAGUCUUACUCAGUGGGAUGUCACAGCCAGAUGAUGGAGAGCGCUUCUUCACUCCAGGGGAUCUUGUAAAACUUGCAUGCCCCUGGUCUCUACUCCGAGUCCAGCCUCCUCCUCGACACGGACUCCCUUCGUGCUAAAUCAGAACUAGUGAAUGACACGCUGAGAUCCAUUAAGCAACAAAUGUAUUUGGUUACUUACUUACUAAGGGCAUUGCUAGGGUCUUCCUGGUUGAAGUACUACACUCAAAAAAACUCAUAAAAGUUAUAUGCUUGUAAAGUUUGUCAGUUUAAACUUCACAGUCAAGUUAGAUAUAGUGAGUUUAACUAAAAGGUAAGAUUUCAGCCUUUAUAAUCACAAUUGAUCAAUGGUUAUAAGUAUUUGCAAUAAAAAUGCUUAUUGAAAUAUGCAUAAUAUUACAUAUCCACAAACAAAAACUUAGUCAUAUGUUUUAUUCUCAAUUUGUCUGUAACAUUAUUAAAACAAAAAAACUGGAUUCUUUGUUGAAUAAAAAGUUUUAGAAUUUAACGCGUCCUUGCUGAAUAAAAGCAUUAAUGUAAAAAAAAAAUAAUAAUGAUUCAAUUUUAUUGACCCCAAACAUUUUAAUGGUAGUAUAUAUGUAAUCCACAGGGGAAAAGCUUAAUAUGAAUACUGUCCGCGAGCAGUUUGGAUUUUACCUUUGUCAACAUUUCUUCAUGGCUUAAUG
ensembl:lncRNA